rnacentral:lncRNA from 1 species
CUGGAUCAUACUGAAAAGAAGCCGGUGAAGGUAAGUCAAGUGCGUUUCUCUUAGGUGUUUGCCCUCCUUCCAGGCAGUUUCAGUUUCUUGAUGCAGAAUCACUAACUUUAUGCUGUGCAUACUUUAGGGUGUGUUUGGUUGUGGAACGAAGUGAAAUGAAAUGGAAUGGUUCCAUUCCACUAGACUGGGUCGGUUCCGUUCCUGUGUUUAGUUAGAGGCAAUACAUGGAAUGGAAUGGUUACAUUUUGGUGUUUGGUUGAAGAGACGAAACAUAAUGAAUUUGGUUCGCUUUGGCCAGGUACAUUCACAAAGCAUUAUAAAUAUGACAUCAAACCUAUAUGCAACUAUUUCCUCUUGCACUGAAGCAUUUCUACAAGAUGACCUUGAGGCUAAAAAACGCAUUUCUACAAGCGAAAAAGGGAUCAAUUUACAAGGAAGAAUAAAAAAUAUACGAAAAAAAGAAAAGAGGAUAAUGAUGCACAUUAGCGAUCUGCCACUGCUCCUCUGCCUCCACUAGUCCACUGAGUAAAGCUUCAGGCUGCGUUGCUCGCUUGCUAGUCUUCGUUGAACAAUGCUGCUCGCUUGCUAGUCUUCGUCGAACAAUACCACACCAGGCUCAUCUUCGCAGCUCCCUGCGUGGCGGUACCAGCAGAUCAGGUAGCUGCCAGCAGCAAGGCAACAGGUCAGUCGCCGUCCCCAACAAAUCAGCCACCUACUCAUCGGCAAGUCAGGCCACCGCCGGCCACCGGCAGAUCAGGUCGCCGCCGCGCGCCCACCGGCAGAUCAGGCCGCCGUCGCUCCCCGAAAGAUCUAGUCGUCGCCAGAAAUUUGGAGCCAACUCCCUGCAGGCUAGGCCACCAUAUAGGGUGUGGUCGACGCCAGCAACCAUUGGCCCCUGUCGGUUGCUACCCAAUCCGCC